rnacentral:lncRNA from 1 species
AAGCUCCCCAGCGCGCGGCACCAUCGCGCGCAGCAAGCUCCCCAGCGCGCGGCACCAUCGCGCGCAGCAAGCUCCCCAGCGCGCGGGCACCAUCGCGCGCAGCAAGCGCACCAGCGCGCGGCACCAUCGCGCGCAGGCAGCCAACUCUCGUGCGGCAAGGCAGCCAACGAUCUUGCGCGAGGAUGCGCACGCUGGCGCGCGAGGUUGCCCACACUCGCGCGGCAAGGCAGCCAACUCUGGCGCGGCAAGGCUGCCCACGCUCGAGCGGCAAGGCUGCGCACUGUGGCGCGAGGCUGCGCACGCUGGCGCCCGAGGCUGCCCAAGAUGGCGCGCGUUACCAACGCUCGCACGGCAAGCAAGCCCACGCUCGCGCGCCAGGCUGCGCACGCUCGCGCGGCAAGGAUGCGCACGCUGGCGCGCGAGGUUGCCCACUCUCGCGCGGCAAGGCAGCCAACUCUCGCGCGGCAAGGCUGCCCACGCUCGAGCGGCAAGGCUGCGCACUCUGGCGCGCGAGGCUGCGCACGCUCGCGCGGCAAGCAAGCCGACGCUCGCGCGCCAGGCUGCGCACGCUCGCGCGGCAAGGAAGCCAACGAUCGCGCGCGAGGCUGCGCACGCUGGCGCGCGAGGCUGCCCACCCUCGCACGGCAAGGCAGCCAACGCUGGCGCGCGAGGCUGCCCACGCUCGCGCGGCAAGGAAGCCAACUCUUGCGCGCGAGGCUGCCCAUUUCCGAGUAAGGCAUGCUUCACCCACUCGCGAGGAAGGCAGCGCGAACUCGUGCGAGGGAUGUAGCCAGCUCGCGUGCCCGCAGCGCACGCUGGCGGGGAAGGAUACGAGCGCGCGCGCGCGGCAUGCACCUGGCACUCGCGCGGCAAACUGCCGACGCUCGAGCGAGGCAAGGCAGCGGGCGCUCGCCACCAAGGCACGCAGCCCACGCUCGAGCGAGGCAAGGCUUGCGCACGCCAUGCAGCCCCCACUCGCGCGGCAAGCAGCGCAGGCUCGCGAGGCAAGCUGCCCACGAUCGCGGGGCAGGCAGCGCGCGCUUGCGAGCAGGCCAGGCACGAUCGCGCGGCUCGCACGGCACCCUCGCGGGGCACGCACAGCACCCUCGCGCGAGGCAGGCCGCGCUCGCCUGGCUGGGGCGGGUGGCUUCCUUCCGCGCGGGAAGUGGCCAUGUCCCUUCCGGCGCUGCUACCGCUGUUCCAUGGGGGCCGGAUGCUGCAAUUAGGCGUCAUGCGAGAAACCACCAUGGGCCGGAUGCUGCAAUUAGUCUCAGGACUCAAGUAGAUGGCGGGCUUAGGGAACAAUUUUUUGGCCGCUGGAAAACAGUUUUUAAAAAUCGUCCAAAAUGGAUAAACCGGGACACAAAAUUACUCGUAAGAUAUGCAAACGGCACCGGAAUGGGCUGAAAUUUUAGGAGGCGCCGUAUAUCGACCUGAAUUAUCUGAUGGGACCAAAAAGUGGUGGAAAUUAUGCCGGAGCUCGGGGUCCCAAAUUUUGGGCAAAAAUGGCCAAAAACCGUGGCCAUUUUGAGCACACGGAUUUUGCCCAAAUUUCGCGUUUUCGGGGGCGGCAGGGGAUUUUGGGCCGGCAUUGUAGAUAUGUGCGUUUGUUAACCGUCGGAGGAGACGAAGUCUAUUCCGAGGUCCGGAUCUCGUUUUAUGGCCCAAUUUACCGAACGCGCAGGGGGACCCAUUUUUCGGCAGAAAGGGCCAAAAUUCGCGUUUUCGGGUUGGCGGCGUGGGGUUUAGCCACAGGAGAAAACGGAAGCCAAAUUUCUCCUUUGUGCCAGCCACUUAGAUUUUGCGAGAGUUAGACACAAGUCCGCUACGAGGCCUGAGUUAGCCUCCUUUCGAAGCCAUCACACAAGUCUUAUGUGCCAGAGUUAGCCUCAUGAAAAGGAGAGUGUGCUGCCUUUGUGCCAGCCACUUAGAUAUUUGCCGAGAGUUAGCCUCGUGAAAAAACACAAGUCCACUCCGAUCCUUGGGCGUGUGCGCCGCAGGGGGCUAACCUCCGACGGGUUCCGAACAAGAGGAAGACGGUGCGAGUGAGGGUGGGAGGACGAAUUCUGAGCGACGUAGGGCUGAAUCUCAGUGGAUCGUGCAGCAAGGCCCACUCUGCCACUUACAAUACCCCCGUCCGCGUAUUUAAGUGCGUCUGCAAAGGAUUCUAACCCCGCCGCUCGAUGGGAAUUACGAUUCAAGGCGGCCGCCGCGGCCCUUUCCGCCGCGGGGGCUUGGCCUACGACACGUGCCUCUGGGGACCGGGCGGGGUCCCUACUGCGGGUCGGCGAAACGGGCGGCGGUGCGCACGCGUCGCUCUAGCCCGGAUUUCUGACUUAGAGGCGUUCAGUCAUUAAUCCAGCGCACGGUAGCUUCGCGCCCCACUGGCUUUUCAACCAAGCGCCGAUGACCGAAUUGUGCGAAUCAACGGUUCCUCUCGUACUAGGUUGAAUUACUAUUACGACGCAGUCAUCAG